AGCUUUGCGCAGUGGCAGUAUCGUAGCCAAUGAGGUUUAUCCGAGGCGCGAUUAUUGCUAAUAGAAAGUGAUUUCUGUAUACUUGUCAGUUUUGACCUCAGAUUGCUAGAGUGUAAAAGGUAAGUACAGACGAUAUUUCAAGAGCCUUGGUAUGAAUGCAAAUAGGC
rnacentral:snRNA from 1 species